rnacentral:piRNA from 1 species
AGGGAAAUGCCAAUAGGAUAUGUGAGACCC